GCUAUUUUGGCAGAAAAAAUGUGAUGAUUUUAGAGUUCAUAAAUAUAUAAAUUUAUAUAGGUAGUA
rnacentral:tRNA from 1 species